UUAAAGCUAAAUAGUAUUGUGGCGGACUUUAAAUGCAUAUAAUAAUUUUUGGACAACUUUUGUAAUUCAAAGUGAACUAAUUUAAUCAUGAUAGAGUAUUGUAGUUGUUAGACUGAAUGGAGGUUAGUGCCUGGCGGCUUUGAGAAACUAAAUAACUUACCUACUUCCGUCUAUUUCUUUUUAAUGUUUAUAUAGUAAUUUCUGAAGAACAGUGAUUUCAUAAUGGUGAGAGAAAUGGCAUGGCUAUGUGUCAAUUUUUUCCAGAUUUGUUAGUGAAGCAACCUGGAUAUCAUUUACUUGAGACUUGAGGUUGCUUGUCAUAUGUAUUAUUGUACUGGCAAAUCUCCUAGUUCCUGUAAUCAUUUUCCCGAGCAGUGUCUUUUUUCAUCUGUACACAUGUUCACUUCUUUUGGAUCUGGUGAAAACAUCAGAUGAAGUUAAUCCUUUUUGUUCCUGUUCAUAUUCAUAUUCAACUUGGAUAUUAACAUGGCACUCAUUUCAAAUCGUUGUACUGGACUUGAACAUUUGCAGGAUGAAGUCGAAGCGGCACGGAUGGCAGCAAUCAACAAGGAAAUUAAACGUGUGUUGACAGAAGUUCUUCUGAAGGUUACGGAUGAUCAUUUUAAUGAGAUCGCAACCAAAGUUAUGAAGAUGAUUCAUCAGCUGAACAUGAGUGAAUUAUACUAAAACUUUAUGGUAAAUUACAUUGCUGAUUAUCGCCUCUGUGUUGCAGCAAAUGAGACCACUGGUGUCUCUAGCUCAAAGGAGCUUGGUCUGGGAGAAUCAGAAGUCAAGACCACAGCUAAAGGUGUAGUCCCUGCUAAGCCAAACAAUGUUAGCUCUACUGGUCGUUCUGAUGGUACUGGGCUAAGUUCUCCUAAAGGUGCUCUUCUUGGUCUUGCUAGUUAUGAUUCAGAUGACGAGGAUGAUGAGGGUGAUGGGUAAGGGUUUAAUUCCAAAUUUAUCAUCUGAAAUUAAAGUUGUGCAGCUCAUCCUAAAGAAAGUAAGUUCUUGAAAAACACAAAGCGGACAUGGUUUCCUAGAAUUUAUUUUCUGAAGGAGGAAGAGCUUAUUAUUAACUUUCUGAGUUUACUUCGGUCUUGCAUGUUUUAGCUUUCUGUUUUUGCUCCUAUAUCUAUAUAUGUUUCUUUCCAUUUCUUGGGGGCACGCGCUCCAUUGUGUUUGUGUGUAAUUGUCUGUGUGAUGUUCCCCUAUCUGUCUGUUUCUGUCUGUUUCUUGUGUGCAAGUGCUACAUUGUGUGUGUGCAAGUGCUACAUUGUGUGUUUGUGUGUGUGAUGUGCCCCUAUACAUGUCUGUUUCUUUGUCUGUUUCUUGUGUGCAAGCGCUUGAUUGUGUGUGUGUGCUUGUGUGACUGUGUAUUGCAUUUUCUUGAUGGUGUGGCCUGUAUGCUUUGCUGAAUGAUUGGUGUUGUAUAACUUGUGUUUUGUAUUGUUGUGGUUUAACACUGCCUUUGCCAGUCCCAAGCCCGGAUGCGAAAAUGUGGAGGGAGCUGCAAUUACCUCUGUAUUGUUUUCCUUAGAAGUGUGGAUUGAAAUUACUUUGUCCUAAUCGAAUAGUGAAUCUUCACAUAAUGUCGUAGUAUGUGAUUCAAGCUUGGAAAUGCAUCCUUCCUCGCUAUGAAAAAUCUAGCAAGUGUAAUUGUCGUUAGAAUUUGUCCCGUCUCCUAAAUUAAUCGCGCUGGUUUCUUAAAUCUUGCCAGCACCGCUUUUCUAAAAAUCAGUUAUUUGUUUUUAUUUGGCUUUAGGUUGAAUUUUGUGGCUGUCUGAUCUUGCACGAAUCUCAACGUCAUAGAUGUUCCUCAUUUGUCUGUCACUCACGAGUGCGUGUUGGGUCUAUUUGUUGUUGAGCUUUUUAUUCGGGUUGUGGGUCGCCCUCUCCUUGUUUGGAUGUGGGGGUCUCUACCAGGAAACCAUGCGGUCCUGGUGUCCUAUUAUUCUUCAUUUGUGCUAUCGCUUCAAACACUUCUUCUCAGUGAAUGGUGCUCGUUCUCGUCUGCACCUAGCUGCGGUAAAUCCCUAACCACACACUCAUCGAGCGACACAAAAUUAUACUCUGGUGCUCCAAAAACUUUUCUGUAAUAGCUAGAGAUGUACAAUUUUAGGUUCUCAUGCGCUACAAUUGUACCCUUAUCUUGUUCAAGCUAAAUUUUUCUUCUU